GGGGGCAUAGCUCAGUUGGUUAGAGCGCAUGCGUCACAAGCAUGAGGUCGCAGGUUCGAAUCCCGCUGUCCCCACCA
rnacentral:tRNA from 1 species